rnacentral:rRNA from 1 species
GACAGAGGGUGCAAGCGUUGUUCGGAAUUACUGGGCGUAAAGGGCGCGUAGGCGGUCUGCUAAGUUCGGUGUGAAAUCCCUCGGCUCAACCGAGGAACUGCCCCGAAAACUGGCAGACUCGAGUACCGGAGAGGAGGGUGGAAUUCCUGGUGUAGCGGUGAAAUGCGUAGAUAUCAGGAGGAACACCGGUGGCGAAGGCGGCCCUCUGGACGGAUACUGACGCUGAGGCGCGAAAGCGUGGGGAUCAAACAGG